CUCAGUUUCCUCCUCUCCUGUGCUCACUCCCAGGCUGUUUAGCUUUCCUUUGUAAAUAUUGCUGGACCAACCAAGGAACUCUUAUUUAUACCUUCCAUCACCUGGCACCAAUCAGAUAUAUUGGACUACAACUCUAAUCAUACUCUGCCAUACUUCAUUUAGAGGGGAGGUUGAAUGAAUUUUGCCUUCUAUAACUGCAAUUGCCAUAUUUCCCAACUCCGGCAUGGAAAACUUGCAGGAUAUAUAGGGUCUGCAAUUGCUUCCAUAGGAUCUUGAACCAAUUUUCCCAGGUCUAACCUCUAUUUUUAGAGCCUAACUAGCCAAGGCAGUAUUGCCGUCUCCCCUAGAAAUAAGGUUUUAUCAAAAACCUUCUUGAAUCUAAUGGUGUGGAUGAAGCCUGUUUAGUUCUGGGCCAGUAUCAGUUUCCACCCUUCCUAUAGAAUAAGUACUGGAUAUUUCAGCACUGGAACUUGUACUGGACUAAGGAUUACUGGCUAUAAUUUAGUCCUAUUUUUAAUUCUCUGGCAGGAAGGGUGGUUUCACUAGUAAUAGUACUAUUAUCUUAUUUUUAAGAAACUCUAAGAAAGCUUGAAAUGAGGAGUGUAGCAUUUUAUUUUUUUAACUUAAACAUUAGUUUUAAUGACUUUGAUCACUGGCUGGGUUUGAGACAUGCCAGGGAGUAGUUCAUUGCAGGAUUAGCUCCUGGCUACAGGAGGCCCUAGAUAGCAUCCUUUAGUGGGCUCCUUCCUGUAUUAGUGAGCCUUGGUAGGAUCUUCAUGCUUUUCACAGUAUUUGACAACAGUGCUAUGUCAGUGACGAUAGGACAGAUUUUGUUUUAAAGAGCAAUUUUAAAAUGAUAUCCAGGUGGGUCAGGUGUUGGCAGCUGUUCUUUUGCUAAAAGGAUUCUACAAUUUUCAGCUACAGCUUACUAAAGUUGUGCAUUCCUGGGUGAAGUGUGAUUUAAUUAUAAAGAAAGUCUAAGCCAUGGCUUCCUUCAUAACUGAACUGGGUCAAAGAGCAAAGUGAACAAUAGAGUCUUAAAAGUAGGCAACUCCUUUUCAAUAUUAAACAACUUUUAGAGAAGCCCAGUGGAAUGGGUAGUGAGAUAAGAAUGGCUGAAGCUAGCUGGGCAACUAAGAGAGAACAAGGUUCACCUACACACUACCUGUUCCAUGGCUACCAUGUUGAAUCAAGAGGAGAAAUUAAUGUCUUUUGCUUCACAUAAGAAACCUACGGAUUUAUGGGGAUCAACUUCUGCAGAGUUAAUCUUGCCAAAAAAUGCUUCGGUUUUCUGACUUGGGAUGUAUCCAGCAAUUCACAGUUUAAUAAGAAACAAUAUUGGACUUGCCAACUCAGAGAAAUGAAAAUAUCUUUGGAAAACAGCAAAAAGAAGCACAAAAUAAUUGUGGUACCUUAAAUUCUUGCUUUUAGCUCACAUCUAAUUAUCUAUUAUGCUGGCCAACAUUUCAGACUUGUUUUUUUAAUCUAGGCUCUAAGCAAAGACUCUUGUGUUUGAUGUGUUGGACUGCAACUCCCAGUAUUCCCAAACAGCAUGGGAUUAUGGUACUUGUAGUCUAUUGCAUUUGGAAAGCAAUGGGCUAGAAAACUGCCUUAAUUUAUCUUAUUUCCAUGAGCCAAGGAUGGUUGCUGACCUCUGCACUAAACAAAAUUGAACCUAAACUACCAAAAUUGGGGCUUAUUUUGAUGUGUGAAAACUCCCUUAAAAGGGAUUGACCUUCUUUGGAUUCUAUUCCACAUGUCAUUGUCAAGAAAAUUUGAUUUCAUUCACUGAGUAUCCAUCCUUGACAAUAGUCAUAUUUUAUUUGCCCAUUCCUUCCCAUCUCCCAGGCAUGUUUUAAAUUACAAAGAAUGUCUUUAGUGAUGUAAAUACAUAAAUACAUUCAUAUAUAAAUAAAUGAAUCUAUAUAUAUAUUUGAUGUUUACUGGAUUUUCCCAUUGUUUAUGGUACUGGAGGUCUUGAAUCAUUGUGCCUUGAUUGUAAAUAAGCUUGAGUGUCUAUUUUAUGAAUAAAAAUAUUAUGAUUUGUAA